ACUUAAGAAGCUUUGCUUUUUAAGUUAGCGGCGGACGGGUGAGUAACACGUGGGCAACCUGCCUGUAAGACUGGGAUAACUUCGGGAAACCGGAGCUAAUACCGGAUAAUCCUUUUCUACUCAUGUAGAAAAGCUGAAAGACGGUUUACGCUGUCACUUACAGAUGGGCCCGCGGCGCAUUAGCUAGUUGGUGAGGUAACGGCUCACCAAGGCGACGAUGCGUAGCCGACCUGAGAGGGUGAUCGGCCACACUGGGACUGAGACACGGCCCAGACUCCUACGGGAGGCAGCAGUAGGGAAUCUUCCGCAAUGGACGAAAGUCUGACGGAGCAACGCCGCGUGAGUGAUGAAGGUUUUCGGAUCGUAAAACUCUGUUGUUAGGGAAGAACAAGUACGAGAGUAACUGCUCGUACCUUGACGGUACCUAACCAGAAAGCCACGGCUAACUACGUGCCAGCAGCCGCGGUAAUACGUAGGUGGCAAGCGUUGUCCGGAAUUAUUGGGCGUAAAGCGCGCGCAGGCGGUCCUUUAAGUCUGAUGUGAAAGCCCACGGCUCAACCGUGGAGGGUCAUUGGAAACUGGGGGACUUGAGUGCAGAAGAGAAGAGUGGAAUUCCACGUGUAGCGGUGAAAUGCGUAGAGAUGUGGAGGAACACCAGUGGCGAAGGCGACUCUUUGGUCUGUAACUGACGCUGAGGCGCGAAAGCGUGGGGGAGCAAACAGGAUUAGAUACCCUGGUAGUCCACGCCGUAAACGAUGAGUGCUAAGUGUUAGAGGGUUUCCGCCCUUUAGUGCUGCAGCAAACGCAUUAAGCACUCCGCCUGGGGAGUACGG
rnacentral:rRNA from 1 species